rnacentral:tRNA from 1 species
GUUUAAAUAGCUUAUUAGAAGAGCGUAAUAUUGAAGAUAUUAAGGAAACAUUUUGUUUUUAAACAUC